rnacentral:rRNA from 1 species
CUUGGUGAAGAUAGCGGUGUGGAACCACUCGAUACAUUCCGAACUCGCAAGUGAAACGCAUGUCGCGCCGAUGGUAUUUGGUCUUUAUGGCCAGUGAGAGUAGGUUGUCGCCAAGC